GACGAACGCUGGCGGCGUGCCUAAUACAUGCAAGUAGGACGCAGUUGCGAACGGGUGAGUAACGCGUAGGUAACUACCUAUUAGAGGGGGAUAACUAUUGGAAACGAUAGCUACUACCGCAUACUAGUAGAUGGACCUGCGUUGUAUUAGCUAGUAGGUAGGGUAAUGGCCUACCUAGGCAACGAUACAUAGCCGACCUGAGAAGGUCAUCGGCCGCACUGGGACGUGUGCAGGGCACAGAGUCCUACGGGAGGUGGCACAAGGGGAAGUUCGGCAAUCGGGUGAACACUGGCCGAGCAACGGGCGGGGAGGGAAGACGGUUUACGGAUCGUAAAGACCUGUUGGUUAGGAAGCGGUACUUAAUCAGACAGGCCCGGCUAACUACGUGCCAGCAGCCGCGGUAAUAC
rnacentral:rRNA from 1 species